rnacentral:misc_RNA from 1 species
AGAAGGAUCAUUCUUGAUACUUGGUUGAGCGUAAGCUUGGCCAGACCAUGUGUGAAUCAGUGUUCUUCUUCCCAGCGGGAUUGAUAUUGUUGACCCUUUGCAUUCCAUGUAUCGCUGUGUUGCUGACUAUGUUGGCAGGAUGGGGAUGGAUGCGUUGCUUAGGCGAGAUAUUGAGACGGCAGGGUUAUUGCCGAAAGGCAAAUCAUUUUAAUAGCAGGGAACUCAAAAAGUAACUCUAUACAACUUUUAACGAUGGAUCUCUUGGCUCUCACACCGAUGAAGAACGCAGCAAACUGCGAUAAGCAAUGCGAAACGCAGUUGUUCGUGAGUCAUCCGGUAUUCGAACGCACAUGGCAGGUCUUCGGACCUACGUCUGGUUGAGGGUCUUUAUUACUCCAUUUCUAUGGGAAGUGAGUGGGCACUUGGCUCACUUUAAAGGCAAGGUAACUUGUACCGUAACCGUUUGGUGGACAAUCGAGCGGGCAUUGGUAACAAGCGAUGACUGGUAAGCAGUUAUCAUAUCAACUUUGACCUCAACUCAGACGAGACUACCCGCUGAACUUAAGCAUAUCAAUAAGCGGAGGAAAAGACACCAACAGGGAUUCCCUUAGUAACGGCGAGUGAAAAGGGAGAAGCGCAACAUGGGAAUCGUGCCGCAAGGUUCGAGUUGUAGGGUUGCAUUGUUUGCCUUGGAUGAAGCGGCGUGUAAGUCUCUUGGAAUAGAGCAGCAUAGAGGGUGAUACUCCCGUAACGCGCUGCAGAGUCUGUGAUGGCAAGCAAUAGGCGAGUCGAGUUGUUUGGGAAUGCAGCUCCAACGGGUGGUAAACUCCAUCCAACGCUAAAUACUGGUGAGAGACCGAUAGCAAACAAGUACCGUGAGGGAAAGAUGAAAAGCACCUUGAAAAGGGCGUUAAAAGAAUGUGAAAUCGUUAAGGGGGAAGCGUUGCCAGCGAGUGCAGUAUAAUGCAGAUCAAGUACUCUAUUAGGGUACUGCACUGUGUGUUGUACUGGUCCACAUCAGUUUUGGCUGCUGGAUAAUCUCUCUGGAAGGUAGCGUUCUCGGACGUGUUAAGCCAGGGAGGGCGCAGUGGCUGGGACUGAGGACCGCCGUGCACGUUUGCGGGGCCUUUUAUCUCUGUCUUAUUGCCAGUAGGUGCAUCUUUGAUGAGCUUGCUGAGUAGUGAGUCACCGGUGGAAGUGAUCGCCUAUGCACGAAGGAUGUGGGCGAAAUCGCUUGUAGCGACCCGUCUUGAAACACGGACCAAGGAGUCUAAUUGAUGUGCGAGUGGUAAGGUGGCAAACCUUAGCGCGUAAUGAAAGUAACAGGUACGACCUUCGGGCAGUAUCGGCCGGACGAGAUCUACGGUGAUCGUCCUGAGCAAGAGCAUAUCGACUAGGACCCGAAAGAUGGUGAUCUAUGGCUGCGUAGGAUGAAGCCGGGGGAAACUCCGGUGGAAGUCCGCAGCGGUUCUGACGUGCAAAUCGAUCGUCGAACGUGGCUAUAGGGGCGAAAGACUAAUCGAACCAUCUAGUAGCUGGUUCCUGC